UUUGCGGUAUCGUAAAGCCUGGAUGACUCUGGCUGUUCGUAGAACAGCAUAGCCUUCCUGAAAUGGAAAUGGGACAGAAUGAAAUCAGAGCCCAGGGUGAGCCGCUCA
ncrna:unclassified sequences DTF3800-III RNA